GACGAACGCUGGCGGCAUGCCUAACACAUGCAAGUCGAACGAGACCUUCGGGUCUAGUGGCGCACGGGUGCGUAACGCGUGGGAACCUGCCCUUAGGUUCGGAAUAACUCCCCGAAAGGGGUGCUAAUACCGGAUAAUGUCUUCGGACCAAAGAUUUAUCGCCUUUGGAUGUGCCCGCGUUGGUUUAGCAAGUUGGUAGGGUAAAAGCCUACCAAGGCGACGAUCCAUAGCUGGUCGGAGAGGAUGAUCAGACACACCGGGACUGAGACACGGCACAGACUGCUACGCGAGGCAGCAGUGGGUAAUAUUGGACAAUGGAGGAAAUCAUGAUCCCGCAAGGCCGCGUGAGUGAUGAAGGUCUUAGGGUUGUAAUGCUGUUUUACCCGUGAUGAUAAUGACAGUACCGGGAGAAUAAGCUCCGGCUAACUACGUG
rnacentral:rRNA from 1 species